CCUACGUGAGGCAGCAGUGGGGAAUAUUGCGCAAUGGGCGAAAGCCUGACGCAGCGACGCCGCGUGAGGGAUGCAGGUCUUCGGAUCGUAAACCUCUGUCAGCAGGGAAGAACGGUCACUGUGCUAAUCAGCAGUGAAUUGACGGUACCUGCAAAGGAAGCACCGGCUAACUCCGUGCCAGCAGCCGCGGUAAUACGGAGGGUGCGAGCGUUAAUCGGAAUUACUGGGCGUAAAGCGCUCGUAGGCGGUAUGUCAAGUCAAGGGUGAAAUCCCCGCGCUCAACGUGGGAACUGCCUUGGAAACUGGCAAACUGGAGUGUGUGAGAGGAUAGUGGAAUUCCAGGUGUAGGAGUGAAAUCCGUAGAUAUCGGGAGGAACAUCAGUGGCGAAGGCGACUAUCUGGCACAUAACUGACGCUGAGGAGCGAAAGCGAGGGUAGCAAACAGGAUUAGAUACCCGGGUAGUC
rnacentral:rRNA from 1 species